GAUGAAGAACGUAGCGAAAUGCGAUACUUGGUGUGAAUUGCAGAAUCCCGUGAACCAUCGAGUCUUUGAACGCAAGUUGCGCCCGAAGCCAUUAGGCCGAGGGCACGCCUGCCUGGGCGUCACACGUCGUUGCCCCCCCCAUCUACUCCUUCGGGAUUGCGGGGGGCGGAUGAUGGCCUCCCGUGCGCCUCGCCGCGCGGUUGGCAUAAAUGCCAAGUCCUCGGCGACGCACGCCACGACAAUCGGUGGUUGCGAAACCUCGGUUGCCCGUCGUGUGCGGUCGUCGCGCAUCGAGGGCUCGAAAAAAUUGCCGAGCUCCGGCUCGGCUUUCAACGCGACCCCAGGUCAGGCGGGGUUACCCGCUGAAUUUAAGCAUAUCAAUAAGCGGGGA
rnacentral:misc_RNA from 1 species